rnacentral:pre_miRNA from 1 species
CAGCACAAGAAGAUGAAGCUGCCAGCAUGAUCUGAAAGCAUACGAGUCCUUCGUUAUCAUCUGAUGAAAGAAAUAGAUGAUCAGAUCAUCUGGCAGUUUCAUUUUCUCGUGGU